rnacentral:rRNA from 1 species
CCUACGGGGGGCAGCAGUGGGGAAUAUUGCACAAUGGGGGAAACCCUGAUGCAGCGACGCCGCGUGAGGGAAGAAGGCCUUUGGGUCGUAAACCUCUGUUGUAUGGGAAGAAGGAAGUGACGGUACCAUACGAGGAAGUCCCGGCUAACUACGUGCCAGCAGCCGCGGUAAUACGGAGGGUGCAAGCGUUACUCGGAAUCACUGGGCGUAAAGAGCGUGUAGGCGGGUUAUUAAGUCAGAAGUGAAAUCCUAUGGCUCAACCAUAGAACUGCUUUUGAAACUGGUAACCUAGAGUAUGGGAGAGGUAGAUGGAAUUUCUGGUGUAGGGGUAAAAUCCGUAGAGAUCAGAAGGAAUACCGAUUGCGAAGGCGAUCUACUGGAACAUUACUGACGCUGAGACGCGAAAGCGUGGGGAGCAAACAGGAUUAGAUACCCCAGUAGUC